rnacentral:rRNA from 1 species
CAGCAAUGCACAGUGGCGCAAGGGUGAGGAACGCGUGAGUAACCUGCCCUCAAGUUGGGAAUAGCUCCUGGAAACGGGAAUUAAUACCGAAUGUGACCAUUUUAAGGCAUCUUGAAAUGGUUGAAGGCCGCAAGGUCGCUUGAGGAGGGGCUCGCGUCCCAUUAGCUAGUUGGUGAGGUAACGGCCCACCAAGGCGAAGAUGGGUAGCUGGUCUGAGAGGACGAUCAGCCACACUGGGACUGAGAAACUGCCCAGACUCCUACGGGAGGCCGCAGUCGAGAAUUUUGGGCAAUGGGGGCAACCCUGACCCAGCAAUGCCGCGUGCGGGAUGAAGGUCUUCGGAUUGUAAACCGCUGUCAAGAGGGACGAAGAAAAUGACGGUACCUCUGGAGGAAGCCACGGCUAACUACGUGCCAGCAGCCGCGGUAAUACGUAGGUGGCGAGCGUUGUUCGGAUUCAUUGGGCGUAAAGGGUCCGCAGGUGGUCUGAUAAGUCUGACGUGAAAUACCGGAGCUCAACUCCGGAACUGCGUUGGAGACUGUUGGACUUGAGUAUCGGAGAGGAAAUUGGAAUUCCAGGUGUAGCGGUGGAAUGCGUAGAUAUCUGGAAGAACAUCGAAAGCGAAGGCAGAUUUCUGGACGAUAACUGACACUCAGGGACGAAAGCAUGGGGAGCAAACAGGAUUAGAUACCCUGGUAGUCCAUGCCCUAAACGUUGUAAACUUGAUAUGGGGAGAUUUACUCCUUUCCGUGUCGAAGCUAACGCGAUAAGUUUACCGCCUGGGAACUACGGCCGCAAGGCUAAAACUCAAA